UUCUCAUUUCCUGCACAAAACCUGCGCACACCACAAGUCCACAUCUCAUCUCUGCAAACCCUAAACCGACACCCUGGUUUCUUCUCUCCCUCUCGCAGCUCCGAUCACCGGAGUGAUCUCCGGCCGCUCGUUUGCCGACAACCGCCCACACCCACACACCUCCAUCUUCCUUGUACCAGAACACCCACACACCUCGGAACCGAUGACUCGAACAGGAGAGAGAUCAGAGAGAAGGAGAAACAGUGGAGAGAGAGAGCAGCGGUUGGUGACGGAAACAGAACCACCGCCGGCGGCGGUGCGGCCUGCUGGCGGCACCAUCGAUGGUGAAGAUGACUGAGGUGAAUAAAUGACUCCAGAUCCACGAGUACACGCUGUGUUUUUCAAGCGAUUAAGAUUUGGUAGUGGCGUUGAUGUUAUCGAGUGGAAAGGGUUGUGGUUGUUGACGGUGGGUGCUGAUUUCAAGGUCGACAGACGGGGUGGUGGUGCUUGGUCGAUGACACGACAUCGACGGAAACAGCCGUGCCGGCGGUGACAGCAGCGUACAUACACCCCUUUCUGUCUUACCAAUCUGUCGGUUAUUAAUGGCUCUCUAGUUUCAUUGAUACAGGUUCUGUUUAUCACGAUCCUCUGUUUUAUGAUCAGAAUGUGGGAUCUUGGGCAGCAGCAGUGUGUGCACUCAUGCACCGUUCAUACUGAUUCUGUAUGGGCACUUGCUAGUAAUCCAACUUUCAGCCAUGCCUAUAGUUGUGGAAGAGAUCUUUCUGUUUUUGAUCGUGUUACUAGUUGAAAAGAGUAAAUUUUCAAUUCAGGUGUGGAACUUGCAAUCCUAAGUGGAAAAGUUAAAUAAAUGAUUCGAAGAGGAGCAACAAUCCCACACGGAAGUGUUGCAAAACCGAUUCGAAGAGAUGCAACACACGGCAUAUUUUGUUGUUGAACCUACAAUUUGACAAUCGAUUUGUAUUUUGUGGAUGAACUUUUAGUUC